rnacentral:piRNA from 1 species
UGGGGAGUCCACAGCUAUGAAUGUA